rnacentral:siRNA from 1 species
ACGUGUCGGCUGCUUUGUUGAG